UACGAGAGGCCCAAACGUUAUUCGGAUUUACUGGGCUUAAAGAGUUCGUAGGCGGUUCGGUAAGUGAGGUGUGAAAGCCCUCGGCUCAACCGAGGAAUUGCGCUUCAAACUGCCGAGCUCGAGGGAGAUAGAGGUGAGCGGAACUGAUGGUGGAGCGGUGAAAUGCGUUGAUAUCAUCAGGAACACCAGAGGCGAAGGCGGCUCACUGGGUCUUUUCUGACGCUGAGGAACGAAAGCUAGGGGAGCAAACGGG
rnacentral:rRNA from 1 species